AAAUUGAAGAGUUUGAUCAUGGCUCAGAUUGAACGCUGGCGGCAGGCCUAACACAUGCAAGUCGAACGGUAACAGGAAGCAGCUUGCUGCUUUGCUGACGAGUGGCGGACGGGUGAGUAAUGUCUGGGAAACUGCCUGAUGGAGGGGGAUAACUACUGGAAACGGUGGCUAAUACCGCAUAACGUCGCAAGACCAAAGAGGGGGACCUUCGGGCCUCUUGCCAUCAGAUGUGCCCAGAUGGGAUUAGCUWGUUGGUGAGGUAACGGCUCACCAAGGCGACGAUCCCUAGCUGGUCUGAGAGGAUGACCAGCCACACUGGAACUGAGACACGGUCCAGACUCCUACGGGAGGCAGCAGUGGGGAAUAUUGCACAAUGGGCGCAAGCCUGAUGCAGCCAUGCCGCGUGUAUGAAGAAGGCCUUCGGGUUGUAAAGUACUUUCAGCGGGGAGGAAGGUGUUGUGGUUAAUAACCGCAGCAA
rnacentral:rRNA from 1 species